rnacentral:rRNA from 1 species
AUACGUAGGUGGCAAGCGUUGUCCGGAUUUACUGGGCGUAAAGGGAGCGUAGGCGGAUUUUUAAGUGGGAUGUGAAAUACCCGGGCUUAACCUGGGUGCUGCAUUCCAAACUGGAAGUCUAGAGUACAGGAGGGGAAAGCGGAAUUCCUAGUGUAGCGGUGAAAUGCGUAGAGAUUAGGAAGAACACCAGUGGCGAAGGCGCUUCUCUGGACUGUAACUGACGCUGAGGCUCGAAAGCGUGGGGAGC